UCCUGGCUCAGAUUGAACGCUGGCGGCAUGCCUUACACAUGCAAGUCGAACGGCAGCACGGGAGCUUGCUCCUGGUGGCGAGUGGCGAACGGGUGAGUAAUACAUCGGAACGUACCCAGGAGUGGGGGAUAACGUAGCGAAAGUUACGCUAAUACCGCAUAUUCUGUGAGCAGGAAAGCGGGGGAUCGCAAGACCUCGCGCUCUUGGAGCGGCCGAUGUCGGAUUAGCUAGUUGGUGAGGUAAAAGCUCACCAAGGCGACGAUCCGUAGCAGGUCUGAGAGGAUGAUCUGCCACACUGGGACUGAGACACGGCCCAGACUCCUACGGGAGGCAGCAGUGGGGAAUUUUGGACAAUGGGGGCAACCCUGAUCCAGCCAUGCCGCGUGAGUGAAGAAGGCCUUCGGGUUGUAAAGCUCUUUCGGCGGGGAAGAAA
rnacentral:rRNA from 1 species